GAUGAACGCUGGCGGCGUGCCUAAUACAUGCAAGUCGAGCGAACGGAUGAGAAGCUUGCUUCUCUGAUGUUAGCGGCGGACGGGUGAGUAACACGUGGAUAACCUACCUAUAAGACUGGGAUAACUUCGGGAAACCGGAGCUAAUACCGGAUAAUAUUUUGAACCGCAUGGUUCAAAAGUGAAAGACGGUCUUGCUGUCACUUAUAGAUGGAUCCGCGCUGCAUUAGCUAGUUGGUAAGGUAACGGCUUACCAAGGCAACGAUGCAUAGCCGACCUGAGAGGGUGAUCGGCCACACUGGAACUGAGACACGGUCCAGACUCCUACGGGAGGCAGCAGUAGGGAAUCUUCCGCAAUGGGCGAAAGCCUGACGGAGCAACGCCGCGUGAGUGAUGAAGGUCUUCGGAUCGUAAAACUCUGUUAUUAGGGAAGAACAUAUGUGUAAGUAACUGUGCACAUCUUGACGGUACCUAAUCAGAAAGCCACGGCUAACUACGUGCCAGCAGCCGCGGUAAUACGUAGGUGGCAAGCGUUAUCCGGAAUUAUUGGGCGUAAAGCGCGCGUAGGCGGUUUUUAAGUCUGAUGUGAAAGCCCACGGCUCAACCGUGGAGGGUCAUUGGAAACUGGAAAACUUGGGUGCAGAAGAGGAAAGUGGAAUUCCAUGUGUAGCGGUGAAAUGCGCAGAGAUAUGGAGGAACACCAGUGGCGAAGGCGACUUUCUGGUCUGUAACUGACGCUGAUGUGCGAAAGCGUGGGGAUCAAACAGG
rnacentral:rRNA from 1 species